GGCUUUGGUCACAGUGACCGCCACCGUUGCCCGGGGAUGGGUCCCUGAGACUUGGCGAAGUAGGAGCCCUGUGUGAUCGUGCGUCAGAGUCGGGGCUGAGACCAGUCCUGGCCAGGGCAGUUACCAGGACGGUCUCCGGAGGCCGGGAUGCGCGGAGGCUCCACCAGCAGGAAGAAACGCCAGGAGGAAGAAACCUGAGACAGAUCGCCGGGGACGCAGCGCGGGAUCCCAGCCUCAGGCUUGCGCGGACGGUGUGCGGCUACCCAAGGUGCGAAAAGGAAAGAAGGCCAAAGGGAAGAAGGUGGUGCCGACCCUUGCUGUCUUGAAAAAGCAGGAGACCGUGAAAGUGGUGAAUCUUCCGUUUGAGAAAUUUGGCACUGGACAGGACAUUUUGGCAUUGGACAGAACAUCCAGCCCAAAAGGCACCUCACUUGCUUUGUCAAAUGGCCCCAUUAUACUAGGUUGCAACAGCAGAGAGCCAUCCUCUAUAAGCAGCUAGAAGUGCCUUCUGUGAUUAAUCAGUUCACCAGGGCCUUGGACCACCAAACAGCUGCUCAGUGGGGUAAGCUGGCUGGCAAGUACAGACCACAGACAAAGCAAGAGAAGCAGCAGAGACUGUUGGCCUGGGCUGAGAAGAAAGCAAAGGAGACAUCCCCACUAAGAGAUCACCUGUCCUUUUAACGGGGGUUAACUCUGUCACCACCUUAGUGAAGAAAAAGAAGGCUCAGCUGGUGGUGACUGCACAGGACAUAGAUCCCAUUGAGUUGGUUGUCUUCCUGCCUGCCCUGUAUUGUAAACUGAGCGUUCCUUACUGCAUUGUCUAAUGGAAGGCAAGCUUGAGACAUCUAGGAUUAAAAAACAAACAAACGAACAAACAAACAACAACUCUUUAAAAUAUUCUUUUAAAACUUCUAAUUAUUAGUUUUUUUUUAAAUCUCUUCAGUACAUUAAAAUGUCUGGUGGUAGGAAAAUACUGGACUCAUAUAUGACUGUCUACUUGAUUUGCAGGGCCCAGUGCAAAAUGAAAUGGAUGUUGUACCUCGUUCAAAGUGUUAAGCGUUUCAAGAUGGCAACAGCAGAGCAUUAGGCCAAGUAUGAGGUCAUUAUGUACAUGGGUCCUCGUGUGACCACACAGGUCACAGGAACAUGAAGCUAGACCUGAGUGUAUAUUCAGAUAGGUAAAUCUUACAGAUUUUU
rnacentral:lncRNA from 1 species